AACCUCGGCUAAUACCGCAUAAUACCCACGGGUCAAAGGAGCAAUUCGCUCAGGGAGGGGGUCGCGGCCGAUUAGUUAGUUGGCGGGGUAAUGGCCCACCAAGACUGUGAUCGGUAUCCGGCCUGAGAGGGCGCACGGACACACUGGAACUGAAACACGGUCCAGACUCCUACGGGAGGCAGCAGUGGGGAAUUUUGCGCAAUGGGGGAAACCCUGACGCAGCAACGCCGCGUGGAGGAUGAAGUCCUUCGGGACGUAAACUCCUUUCGAUCGGGACGAUUAUGACGGUACCGGAAGAAGAAGCCCCGGCUAACUUCGUGCCAGCAGCCGCGGUAAUACGAGGGGGGCGAGCGUUGUUCGGAAUUAUUGGGCGUAAAGGGUGCGUAGGCGGUUCGGUAAGUCUUAUGUGAAAUCUAUGGGCUCAACUCAUAGACUGCAUGAGAAACUGCCGGGCUUGAGUGUGGGAGAGGUGAGUGGAAUUCCCGGUGUAGCGGUGAAAUGCGUAGAUAUCGGGAGGAGCACCUGCGGCGAAAGCGGCUCACUGGACCACAACUGACGCUGAUGCACGAAAGCUAGGGGAGCAAACAGGAUUAGAUACCCUGGUAGUCCUAGCCCUAAACGAUGACUGCUUGGUGUGACGGGUACCCAAUCCCGCCGUGCCGUAGCUAACGCGUUAAGCA
rnacentral:rRNA from 1 species